rnacentral:rRNA from 1 species
AUGGAGAAGAUGUUGAUUGAGUCCCUGGGCUUGCGAAAGCUAAACAAGCCUCCUAAGCCACCGGACAUUCACAAAUGGAGCAAGCCUCCAAUGCAUUAUGUGAAGGUUAAUUUCGACGGUGCCUUUGAUGAAAAUACAUGUGCAGGGGGUUGGGGCUAUGUGGUCCGUGAUCAGGCUAGCGAAUUCAUCGCUGCUAGUGCGGGCAAGUCUGUGAACCUGAAAUGUGCUUUGCAAUCUGAAUCUGUAGCCUGCCUUGCUGCCAUUAUGGGGCGAUUAGGAUUGGGGCAAAUCGAAUCAUCUUCGAGUCUGAUUCCUCAACUCUUAUACAAGCUUUGA